UACCAGAUAAGAUAGACUUGCCAAAGGAGGAAUCACAAAUCUAAGCUAUAGUGCAUGGCUAAGGUUUGUUGUUGAGAAGGAUAGAAGGUAUGGAGGACUAGCUGCCAAGACAAGUGGAAGGAGGAAAUGACGUUGGGCAAGAAAAAAGCAUCAGUAUAUAAGUUCCUUACUCGCUAACAACUAUAAAGAAGUAAGGGGAACACAAAGGAAGAAAAAGGAAAAAAGGUCUACUGUAAGAAGAGUAGAGAGGAGCAAGCCGAAGAUAUCCUCCUCUCAUGGCAGAAAGAAAGGGACUAACAUGCAGAGGUGGGGCUCAUAUUAUCUACCCGGGGAACAUGCG